ACGGAGCAAGAGACAAACACAGAGAGGGAGAGCUCUGUCCGUGAGAAAACAAGAGGGCAGGAGAAAGGGAACGAGAACUCGACCGAGAAAGCUCAAGGAUGCAACUUACGAAGAAGAGUGACGAGGGAAGUCAAGAGGGCGAUGAGGAUAGGGAAUGCGGGAGUGUAAUGGAGACCAGGAGAACGACUUAAGAGGGAGUUGAGCUCAAAAUCGAAAUUUUUCAUCCAUGGCGUUCAGGGGUUGAGGACACCAAUAUUGUCCAUCCUGAAGGCCAAGUUUGAUGAACUAUUUUGGGUGUUUGAUAAGGGUCUAGCUGCGAGGAUGAAUCACUUUUUAAUGUCGGGGAUCAGCUUGGAGAACUAGGUAGGGACUUUAGUUAUUUGAUAGAUAUUCUUUUUGUAUAGAAUGUAAUUGAAUAUGUUACGACCUAAAAUUUAUAUUUAGUUUUGGUUUAGUGAUUGGUUGAGGAAAGAAAAUUACUCCCUUUUGAGAUGUAUAUACAUAUUAGAGCUUGGUUUUAUAUUUUUGAGAGUCCAUUGAAAACCUGUUUUAUGUUAGUAGUUAUGUGGUAAAGGGUAUCGAAGAAAUAUAA